GACGAACGCUGGCGGCGUGCCUAACACAUGCAAGUCGAGCGGGGAUUUAAGUGGAAGUUCUUCGGAAUGGAGAUUUAAAUUCUAGCGGCGGACGGGUGAGUAACGCGUGAACAAUCUGUCCCGGACAGGGGGAUGACACUUGGAAACAGGUGCUAAUACCGCAUAAGACCACGGCCUCGCAUGGGGCUGAGGUAAAAGGAGCAAUCCGGUUCGGGGUGAGUUCGCGUCCGAUUAGCUAGUUGGUGAGGUAACGGCCCACCAAGGCGACGAUCGGUAGCCGGCCUGAGAGGGUGAACGGCCACAUUGGAACUGAGAGACGGUCCAAACUCCUACGGGAGGCAGCAGUGGGGAAUAUUGGGCAAUGGGCGAAAGCCUGACCCAGCAACGCCGCGUGAGGGAAGAAGGUUUUCGGAUUGUAAACCUCUGUCCUAUGGGACGAAGGAAGUGACGGUACCAUAGGAGGAAGCCCCGGCUAACUACGUG
rnacentral:rRNA from 1 species